rnacentral:rRNA from 1 species
UCGCUGAGGCAGCGAAGAGAAAUAGCAACUUCAUGCGGUUUUCUCGUGUGAAGAUUGCCAUGAACNAUAUCUAAACCUGUCGCUGAGUAUCAAUUGGUGGACNAGUCUGGUGCCAGCACCCGCGGUAAUUCCAGCACCAAUAGCGUAUAUUAGUGCUGCUGCUGUUAAAAAGCUCGUAGUUGGAUCAAGAGCUGGACAGUGCACGGUGCCCUUGUUGACUGCGUGGUUCCGAUCACAAGGAAGGCGGCGGAUCAACCCCGUGCAUUAAACUGUUCACUUUAACAGGCCGAANCGGUUCCCUGUGAGUAAGCUCCUUCAUUGGGGCUGAAAGCGCCUUCGCAUCAACCAUAUGCAUACGGGGCGUCGGCCAAUGUUACUGUGAACAAACCAGCGUGUUCAAAGCAGGCUUCUCGCCUGAACGUUCGAGCAUGGAAUAACAAGGGAUCGAUUCUCUCGGUUCUUUUUGUUGGUUUUUUAACCCGAGAAGGAGAAAUUCAGGUCACGGUGUCUGAGUUGGGUACCCCUUCGCUCAGGUGGAGGACCCAAUUAGGCCGNGGUCUUACGGGACUAAUANGGACGGACGGGGUCGUGCGUACUUCCACGUCAGAGGCGAAAUUCUUAGAUCGUGGGGAAGACAAACUUCUGCGAAAGCAUUCGACAAGAACGCCUUCAUUAAUCAAGAACGAGAGUGUGGGGAUCGAAGAUGAUCAGAUACCGUCGUANUCCACUACUGNGAACAUGCCGUCUCAGAUUGAGAANUGAACUCUAUGACCUUCACAGCACUANCCCUGAAACGAGAAAUCAAAGAUUUGGGNUCNGGGGGGANUNCNUUCGCAANGNUGAAACNNAAGGAUUGACGGAAGGNCCNCCAGGANNGGANCCNGNGCUUAAUUGANUCACACGAAAGGCGAAUUCNUUUAACCUGCCGGACUAUCCCUUA